GUGAUGUCACAGAGGGCUGGGGAGAGAAGUAAAUGCUGUCUACCUUGCCUGCUGCAAGGCUUUUGACACUGUCUCCUCUAAUGUCCUCAGAAAAAAAAUAAUGGAACAUGAUCCAACUUCUAAAUAAUAAUAAUAAUGCCAAAAAAUAAAAAUUAUGUGGGAGAAGUGAAGAAAAAAAUGCUCAGCAGAAAUGAGUGAGCAGCAGACUGGAAGUAUGAACAAACCUGUCUGAUGUCAGAGCAUGCCAAUUUCUUGAAGAUGACAGAUGGUGAAGUAUUCUUUUACUGCACUCUGCAGAAAUGCACAAUAAAGAAAAACACGCCUCCUUCCACUCCA